rnacentral:rRNA from 1 species
UGUGCGAAGGUAGCAUAAUCAUUAGUCUUUUAAUUGAAGGCUUGUAUGAAUGGUUGGACAAAAAGUAAGCUGUCUCAGUUAUAAUAAUUGAAUUUAACUUUUAAGUGAAAAGGCUUAAAUGGAUUAAGGGGACGAUAAGACCCUAUAAAGCUUGACAAUAAGUUAAUUAUAUUAUAAAUUGUUAGUAUAACUUGAUUUUAAUUGACGUUUGUUACGUUGGGGCGACGAGAAUAUAAUGAGUAACUGUUUUUAAAUGUUUAAUGACAAAUAUAAUUGGUAUUUGAUUGAUCCUUUAUUAAAGAUUAAAAGAUUAAGUUACUUUAGGGAUAACAGCGUAAUCUUCUUUGAGAGUUCAUAUCGACAAGAAGGUUUGCGACCUCGAU